UUACAUUGAAUACUACUACAGCUUGAUUAUAUAAAUUAUUGUAAUUAUAUCUCCAAUAAACUCCAAAAAAAUUGGAAGGGGCUCAGAUAGUGAUGAUGACUGGGGUUAUGGAAAUACUGUGACAACAUACAUUUCCCAUGAAUAA